UACGGAGGAUCCAAGCGUUAUCCGGAUUUAUUGGGUUUAAAGGGUGUGUAGGCGGCCUAUUAAGUCAGGGGUGAAAGACGGUAGCUUAACUAUCGCAGUGCCUUUGAUACUGAUGGGCUUGAAUGUACUUGAGGUAGGCGGAAUGUGACAAGUAGCGGUGAAAUGCAUAGAUAUGUCACAGAACACCAAUUGCGAAGGCAGCUUACUAAAGUAUGAUUGACGCUGAGGCACGAAAGCGUGGGGAUCAAACAGG
rnacentral:rRNA from 1 species